AGUAGUUGAUCCUGGCUCAAGAACGAACGCUGGCGGCAUGCCUAACACAUGCAAGUCGAACGAGACCUUCGGGUCUAGUGGCGCACGGGUGCGUAACGCGUGGGAACCUGCUUAGGUUCGGAAUAACUCAGAGAAAUUUGAGCUAAUACCGGAUAAUGUCUUCGGACCAAAGAUUUAUCGCCUUUAGAUGGGCCCGCGUAAGAUUAGCUAGUUGGUGGGGUAAAGGCCUACCAAGGCGACGAUCUUUAGCUGGUCUGAGAGGAUGAUCAGCCACACUGGGACUGAGACACGGCCCAGACUCCUACGGGAGGCAGCAGUGGGGAAUAUUGGACAAUGGGCGAAAGCCUGAUCCAGCAAUGCCGCGUGAGUGAUGAAGGCCUUAGGGUUGUAAAGCUCUUUACCCGAGAUGAUAAUGACAGUAUCGGGAGAAUAAGCUCCGGCUAACUCCGUG
rnacentral:rRNA from 1 species